rnacentral:rRNA from 1 species
AGAACGCCGUGGAAACACGGAACUCUUUGGACACUCCAUCACAGGUGGUGCAUGGCUGUCGUCAGCUCGUGUCGUGAGAUGUUGGGUUAAGUCCCGCAACGAGCGCAACCCUUGUCAUUAGUUGCUACGAAAGGGCACUCUAAUGAGACUGCCGGUGACAAACCGGAGGAAGGUGGGGAUGACGUCAAGUCCUCAUGGCCCUUAUGGGUAGGGCUUCACACGUCAUACAAUGGUCGGUACAGAGGGUUGCCAAGCCGCGAGGUGGAGCCAAUCCCAGAAAACCGAUCGUAGUCCGGAUCGCAGUCUGCAACUCGACUGCGUGAAGUCGGAAUCGCUAGUAAUCGCGGAUCAGAAUGCCGCGGUGAAUACGUUCCC